AUUGAACGCUGGCGGCAGGCCUAACACAUGCAAGUCGAGCGAGCGGCGGACGGGUGAGUAAUGUAUCGGGACUGUCCGUUAGAGGGGGAUAACAAUUCGAAACGGUAGCUAUUACCCCUCACUAUAGGAUUACCCAUAUGGGAUUAGAUAGAAGGUGGGGUAAUGGCUCACCUAGGCGACGAUCCCUAGCUGGGCUGAGAGGAUGAGCAGCCACACUGGGACUGAGACACGGCCCAGACUCCUACGGAGGCAGCAGUGGGGAAUAUUGCGCAAUGGGCGCAAGCCUGAUGCAGCCAUGCCGCGUGUGUGAAGAAGGCCCUAGGGUUGUAAAGUACUUUCAGUCGGGAGGCGUUACCGACAGAAGAAGCACCGGCUAACUCCGUGCCAGCAGCCGCGGUAAUUC
rnacentral:rRNA from 1 species